GACGAACGCUGGCGGCGUGCUUAACACAUGCAAGUCGAACGGAAAGGCCCUGCUUUUGUGGGGUGCUCGAGUGGCGAACGGGUGAGUAACACGUGAGUAACCUGCCCUUGACUUUGGGAUAACUUCAGGAAACUGGGGCUAAUACCGGAUAGGAGCUCCUGCUGCAUGGUGGGGGUUGGAAAGUUUCGGCGGUUGGGGAUGGACUCGCGGCUUAUCAGCUUGUUGGUGGGGUAGUGGCUUACCAAGGCUUUGACGGGUAGCCGGCCUGAGAGGGUGACCGGCCACAUGGGGACUGAGGUACGCCCCAGCACCCUACGGGAGGCAGCGGGGGGGAAUCUGGCCAAAGGGGGGGAAGCCAGAUGUGGAAACCCCCGGGGCGGGAUACGGGCCUUGGGGUGGAAAACAGCUUUGGCCGGUGACAAGGGGGGGGUGACGGUAAUGGGUAAAGAAGCCCCGGCUAACUACGU
rnacentral:rRNA from 1 species